GAAGGUAUAGCUCAGUGGUACAGUGCGUGCUUAGCAUGCACAAGGUCCUGGGUUCAAUCCCUGGUACCUCCA
rnacentral:tRNA from 1 species